UGCCCUUUUAACAUUGCACUG
rnacentral:miRNA from 1 species